rnacentral:rRNA from 1 species
CCUACGGGCGGCAGCAGUGAGGAAUAUUGGUCAAUGGACGCGAGUCUGAACCAGCCAAGUAGCGUGAAGGAUGACUGCUCUAUGGGUUGUAAACUUCUUUUACAAAGGAAUAAAACGAGGUACGUGUGUCUUUUUGCAUGUAUUUUAUGAAUAAGGAUCGGCUAACUCCGUGCCAGCAGCCGCGGUAAUACGGAGGAUCCGAGCGUUAUCCGGAUUUAUUGGGUUUAAAGGGUGCGUAGAUGGGUUGUUAAGUCAGAUGUGAAAGUUUGCGGCUCAACCUUAAAAUUGCAAUUGAUACUGGUGGUCUUGAGUACAGUUGAGGUAGGCGGAAUGCGUGGUGUAGCGGUGAAAUGCUUAGAGAUCACGAAGAACCCCGAUUGCGAAGGCAGCUUACUAAGCUGUGACUGACAUUGAUGCUCGAAAGUGUGGGUAUCAAACAGGAUUAGAUACCACUGUAGUC